GACAAAGACAGCGCGCAUCUGAAAGUUCCAAGCCAGGGAUGAUCUGGACAUUAAUGCUCUCGCAAAGUCUAGAUCUGCCGUAUAGCCUCAGGCAUCCAUCCUCCCCUCUUCUUGGAUGAAACAGCACAUCAAGCCACUUCGGCUUUCUUGAGUUUCAGUUCUAUUACCUUACAGGCCACGACCACGCUCGCUCAGUUUAUCAGAUUGUAUCGCCACAAUCCGGAAAGCAUAUCAUGUUCCAUGCAGUUUCUCAGAUUUUUCCUUUUUGAAAUUCCGCAUCUUAUUUUGCUUCCUUGAUCUUCUUAUAUGCAGGCUCAGCUCGCUCACAUCUAGGCACCUGCAUGUAUAGCCGUCUGUCGUGAGAUCGAAGACGCCCGAGAUGAGGCUGUUCAUUUAUCCAUAACAAUUCACAACCUCCGAUCCGGCGUGUCCUCCCAGCAUAUCAGCAAAAAUGGAUGACCCAGAGCAAGAACUUGAUGCCCUGGAGCGCAUAUUAGUUGAUGCGAAUGCAGAGCCAAUCGCCCUAUCAUACGCGUCUUUAUGCAAGAUUACAAAUGGUUUCUCUCAAGAGAUUGGCCGUGGUGGGUUUGGAUUGGUUUAUAUGGGAGUUCUGCAGAACGGGAGAGUAGCAGUGAAGAAACUUUCCAAAAUACAUGAGUUUUCUGAGAGACAGUUUGAGGAUGAGCUUAUUUGUUUGAUAAAGGUUAAACACAAAAACAUAGUGAGAUUUUUAGGCUAUUGUUCAGACACAUCGAGACAAGUAGUUAAACACAAUGGGACAUACAUUUUGGCUGAAGUCCGGCGAAGGUUCCUCUGUUUUGAGUAUGUAUCAAAUAAAAGCCUUAAAGAGUAUCUCAAAGAUGAAUCUUAUGGACGUGAUUGGGAUACACGUUAUCAGUUGAUUGCAGGAAUUUGCCAUGGUUUGCGUUAUCUCCACAACGAAGAACGCAUCAUUCAUUUGGAUCUCAAACCUGAAAACAUCUUGCUGGAUAUUGACAUGGUUCCAAAAAUAACAGACUUUGGCUUAUCAAGACGCUUUGGAACAGAGCAAUCCAGGGUAAUCACUAAAGAAAUCAAAGGAACACGGGGAUAUAUUGCUCCGGAAUAUCACAACAAUGGGGAAAUUUCUUUCAAGUCGGACAUUUAUAGUUUGGGCAUCAUAAUAAAAAAACUAAUAAGGGGAAGUAAUGAUUUGUCUGAUUUUGAAAACUGGCAUACAUCCCUAGUUUUAGACAACCAACAGGUGAAGAGGAUCAUUGAAAUGGCACAACUCUGCGUGAGUGCGGACCAGCAUAUAAGACCUACGAUAGAUGAAUUCAUUGAUAUGGUGAAUGAGAAGGAAACCAUGACUACAGUGGUCUCUCCUGUUUGCGGUCACUCCAGAAGUAACUCUGGGUCUUCACUAAAACAGAUGGAAGAACAUAAUGUGUUUCCGCCUGUGGUAAGCAAGGAAAGGUUAAACAAGGAAGGAUACAGUGAAGAAGUGGUCCAUAAGAUGGAAGCCCCAAAUAAAGAGGUGACGGUGGAUAUGCAGGGCAAGGAAGAGUUGUUGGUGCCAAACACUGGCGUAAGCAAGGGACUCCAACCUGAGAGUAUAACUUGUAUCGUGAGCAAUGAGACAACAACCUGUGAAGUGGUGGAUAAGUUGAAAUCAUGGGUUGUUUUGGAAUCCAAACCAAUACUACUGCAUAAACAUCUACUCCCACAAGAUGGCGAUAUUUCAGCAAAACAUCAGCAGUAUAACCAUAUUAUUCGCCGUAAACUCUGGCCACGACUACCUCGUGCGGUAACUGUGACAUCCGAUGAACCUCGGUUGAAGUCAAGGGCCAGAAAAGAGAAUGAUCAAGAGUCAGCAAGUGCAUCAAGUCCGCCACAGGCCAUCAGAGCAAACAGGGAACCAGAAUACACCGCCACUCGGCCAGGAAACGCGAUUGUACAUGUGGCAAAAUGUGACAGCCCGAUUGUGUCCAUGACUGUCCAUCCCGCGGAGACAUGGAUUAUUACACAUCAUUUGGACCAAUCUGUUUGCAUAUGGGACUACAUUACACAGGAAAAAGUGGAAAACACUUUCAGAGUCUUGAUAUCUAAGCACAAGGCUGAUGUUCUCGCACCAAUAUUUGUUGCACGAAAGCAAUGGUAUUUGACCGGGACCAACACCGGUCACGUAAAAGUGUACAGUUAUGAGACAAUGGAGGAUGUGAAAACUUUCAAAGCCCAUGACGACAACGUCAGGUCUUUGGACAUCCAUCCAACGAAGCCUUAUUUGUUGUCAGCAUCUUACGACAAACGAAUUAAGCUGUGGAACUGGGAGGAGGGCUGGGAGUGUGUUAAAACUUUUGACACGCAGCGCUUCAUAUCUAAAGUCAAAUUUGUCCCUACAGGUGCAGGUUAUUUUACAAGCGCUUCCUUGAGUGGUCUACAGAUAUGGAAUAUUGGUUCUUCUCAAUGUGAAUUCGAAUUGGAUGAGGAUGAUCCGGACAUGAUGAGUUUUGACUACUUGACUCGCGAUGAUCAGCUGCAUGUGAUCACUGGUCAUAUUAAUAACUCAGUUCGUGUAAGGGAUCGUCAGAUUUGGGAGUGGCAGAGUCGAGGUGGUUCUAGCAAACUCGAAGGACGUGCUGGCAAGGUUACUACUGUUCAUGGGCAUCCCGAUCUUCCAAUAAUAAUUUCAGGUUCAUGUGACGGGAAAAUUUGCUGGUGGAACUCCGCUACCUUCCAAUCAUUCGGUCAAAAAAGUUGUUGAUUCAUUCGGUCAACAAAAGUUGUACUGUUGAUUCAUCCGGUCAAUACUCCAGUAGCAUCAUAUGUUCCGGCUUGAGGGCACACUGGAAUAUGGCCUCGGAUUGGUUCGAUAUAUAGCUUGUUUGAAGGGAUCAAGAAGGAUUGUGAUUGGGCAUCAAAAUGGAUUAGCAAUGACUGAAAUUACCACGAAAAACUUGAUGCUAUCAGGUGAAGGGUUAUAGAAGGAAGGAACAGAUAAUGGUAGUGCAACCAAGUACAUGAGGAGCUGGAGUGAAGACAGAAAAUGAUGCGUACACCACUUGGUAAAAUUAAUGGUUGAGUUGCACAUGUGACAUGUGGCUUUGGUAGUUUGGUGCUUAUCUGUCGACUGUCAUCUUACAAUCCAGUCUUCACUAAUUUUCUCUAGAGGUGUAAAAAGCUUAUUCAAAUUUGAAGUACAGAUGCUGUUGUUACUAUUUCGUCUGAACUCCAAAUAAGCAACAUGGCGGGUACACAUAAGCAACGGACAAUGUUGGUUUAUCAGAUGUCUGCAGAUAUCUGUACACA